rnacentral:misc_RNA from 1 species
GUGUGAGGUCUCAACUAAAAUUAGGAUUUGCUGCGAAAUAAGCAAGCACACCAACAAAUGGUGCAUUAAUAUAUGUAGUGGGCUCAGACUUCUUAUAAUCGGCUCGAUCAUCUCCAUACGAGUCAUCUUCACUAGGUCCACCCACAAUUGCACCCACAAGCACAUUAGGAUUAGGAUUUGUUGAGUUGAAGUAAACUGAACCCUCUUUGCA